UUGCUCUUCAACGAGGAAUUCCUAGUAAGCGUGAGUCAUCAGCUCGCGUUGAUUACGUCCCUGCCCUUUGUACACACCGCCCGUCGCUACUACCGAUUGAAUGGCUUAGUGAGGUCUCCGGAUUGGCGUCGAGGAUCCGGCGACGGAACCUCUUUGCUGGGAAGCUGAUCAAACUUGGUCAUUUAGAGGAAGUAAAAGUCGUGACAAGGUUUCCGUAGGUGAACCUGCGGAAGGAUCAUUAAUGAAAUGCACCCUCUGGGGGUUGUGCUGGCGCCUUGGCGCAAGUGCACGCCCCCUCAGGUGUCCAGUCCCAUUCACACCUGUGCACGAACCCGUCGGAUGGGGGUGGCGCCUUGUGCGCCCUCCGGUCUGGCCUCUUCACAUCAGCUUAUGACCGUACGUCGAAUGCAUACUGCGCACGCGCAACCGAAAUACAACUUUUAACAACGGAUCUCUUGGUUCUCGCAUCGAUGAAGAACGCAGCGAAAUGCGAUAAGUAAUGUGAAUUGCAGAAUUCAGUGAAUCAUCGAAUCUUUGAACGCACCUUGCGCUCCUUGGUAUUCCGAGGAGCAUGCCCGUUUGAGUGUCUUGAUAUCAUCAAACGCCCCUGCCUUUUUCUGGUGGGUCGGCGAUUUGGACUUGGACGUGCUGCCGGGCGCCAUGCGCUCGGCUCGUCUCGAAUGCAUUAGCUGGAAUUCCCCUCGGACCUUAUGGCGUGAUAAGAUCACCCGUCGAGCAGUCCCCGUGGGUUCCGCUUCCAAUCGUCCCCCUGCGGACAACACCGAAACCUGGUUUUCGACAUCUGACCUCAAAUCGGGUAGGACUACCCGCUGAACUUAAGCAUAUCAAUAAGCGGAGGA
rnacentral:rRNA from 1 species